GACGAACGCUGGCGGCGUGCUUAACACAUGCAAGUCGAACGGAAAGGCCCUGCUUUUGUGGGGUGCUCGAGUGGCGAACGGGUGAGUAACACGUGAGUAGCCUGCCCUUUACUUUGGGAUAACUUCAGGAAACUGGGGCUAAUACCGGGUAUAAGCUCCUGCUGCAUGGGGGGGGUUGGAAAGUUUCGGAGUUUGGGGAUGGACUCGCGGCUUAUCAGCUUGUUGGUGGGGUAGUGGCUUACCAAGGCGUUGACGGGUAGCCGGCCUGAGAGGGUGACCGGCCACAUUGGGCCUGAGAUACGGCCCAGACUCCUACGGGAGGCAGCAGUGGGGAAUUGUGCAAGAUGGGCGGAAGCCUGAUGCAGCAACUCCGCGUGCGGGAUGACGGCCUUCGGGUUGUAAACCGCUUUCGCCUGUGACGAAGCGUGAGUGACGGUAAUGGGUAAAGAAGCACCGGCUAACUACGUG
rnacentral:rRNA from 1 species